UACGUAGGGUGCGAGCGUUAAUCGGAAUUACUGGGCGUAAAGCGUGCGCAGGCGGCUUUGUAAGACAGAGGGGAAAUCCCCGGGCUCAACCUGGGAACUGCCUUUGUGACUGCAAGGCUUGGGUGCGGCAGAGGGGGAUGGAAUUCCGCGUGUAGCAGUGAAAUGCGUAGAUAUGCGGAGGAACACCGACGGCGAAGGCAAUCCCCUGGGCCUGCACUGACGCUCAUGCACGAAAGCGUGGGGAGCAAACAGG
rnacentral:rRNA from 1 species